CUAUUGCUCUUUCUGCAGAGAAACCAAAAUUCAUGAUCUGGGGAAAACCCUGUUUGGUUUGCAUUCCAUUCUCCUGAAGCGGCAUCACCAGUCUUGCCAGUUCCUAUGAGGUUCUCUGCUUGGUGAUAAGAGAAAUUUAUUUAGAAGGACAUGCCAUCAAAUAGCUCCAAUUGGGAAACUAUUAAGAGCAAAAAAAAAUUAUUAUUGAAAGAAGCUUAUAUUAGGUAUAAAAUACUUAGUAUCACGUCCACAGACAACUUAUGCAUUGCAUAAGUGCAUUGUUUAUGAAUAACCUGUAAUAUCACAUCAAUCCUUAACUUCUGUGUACAGUUUUUCCACUAGGGCUUGGAUGAUUAUUUUAUGAACCAAUUUCCUGAGAUCUCAGCACCCUUCAUGCUUUGCAGUUUCUCCUGAGCUCACCUUUCAGGAGCUGUACCCAGUGACCGCAGUAUGGGUGCCUGCAAACCAUAUUCAAAGCAGUUGUAUGUACCCAAAAGGGCCUGGAACAGCUUCCCAAUCAGAACCUGAGAUUGCUAUGCAGUGAUAUGACUAAAAGAUGGUACAGAGAUUGUGGAUUUAUAUUAACGCCUCUGGAAGAGGUGAUACUGAGCUAGCAGAGGGUGAAACGAGAUUUAAUGAAGUUGACCAGUAAUGAGGAAAAGGAGGAAAUUCCUUCAUGUAGAAACUUAACUACAUGUUUUUGUACCUGUUUUGGCUGCAGUGUUCAGAGGUUUGUGUUGUGGGUCCAAGCAGUCCUGUCUGGAUGUGAAGCAGCUGAAGAGGUUGAUGCUGAAGGCUGUUCUCACCCCUUGAGAGGAGUCCAGCCUCUUCUAAAGAUCAGAGCCUGCCCAGACUCAGCUGUGUUUGUCUAUUAA
rnacentral:lncRNA from 1 species